rnacentral:lncRNA from 1 species
CUCCCAUUAUAUAUUUUAAAAUAAAUAUAUCAUGAGUAAGCAAUUUAGUAGAGAUGUAUACAAACCGACACAAUCUGGCGUUAGGAUAAAGUUUAUUUAGGUGUAACAAGCUUCAUUAGCUCAUUAAUUAAUUAAUUAAGCCUCGUAGUGACAUUUGAAAAUUUUGAAAGAGAGUACGUACGUCGUCAAUAAAUAGAGGAAAUUACUGGCUCCUAAAUUCCAAACACUUGUAAUAAAUCAUUCACUUGGUAAAAUGUCACAUCAAUAUCCAAUUAAAAUAAAUAAAGAGACCAAGACAAGGAAAAGAAAAAGAGUAAACAAAGUAGAUAGAUUCAAAACUUAAACUUCGAGAUCUGAAAGUGGAAUUAUGGAAAUGUAUAUUUAACUUAUCCAGACUUUUUUUGUCAUGUUAAUAUUCAUUGAGUUUAAACUUCGAAAUACAAAUUAAGAUGAAUAAUUGCAAUAUUAAGAGGUUGAUUAAACUUUUUAUUUAUCUUUAUUUUGAUUUUUUGAAGUGAAAAUCCUGACUACAAUCAUAAAUAAGUAAAAUUAGAUAUUUGAUUUUUUGAAGUGAAAAUCGUGACUACAAUCAUAAAUAAGUAAAAUUAGACAUAGAUACAUAAUGUUGAAAUCUUUAAACUUUUUAUGUAUG